rnacentral:pre_miRNA from 1 species
AUGUUACUUUCUCCGUUUCAUAAUUCUUGUCGAAGUCUUACGUGUACCUAGACACCUUUUAGAAAUAGGUACAUCCAUUUUUUGGCAAAUUUGGGACAAGAAUUAUGGAACGGAGGUAGUAAUUU